UACAUUUUGCCACCGGGUAAAUAAUGCAAAAGCAUUUAUGAUCGCUUCGAUAGGUCUUUGAAGAAGCGUUCAUAGGUGCUUUUUUAUU
rnacentral:ncRNA from 1 species